rnacentral:tRNA from 1 species
ACUUAAAUAGUUUAAAUAAAAUAUUGAUUUGUGGCGUCAAAGAUAUGAUAAUUCAUUUUUAGUU